AGAGUUUGAUCCUGGCUCAGGACGAACGCUGGCGGCGUGCCUAAUACAUGCAAGUCGAGCGGACAGAUGGGAGCUUGCUCCCUGAUGUUAGCGGCGGACGGGUGAGUAACACGUGGGUAACCUGCCUGUAAGACUGGGAUAACUCCGGGAAACCGGGGCUAAUACCGGAUGGUUGUUUGAACCGCAUGGUUCAAACAUAAAAGGUGGCUUCGGCUACCACUUACAGAUGGACCCGCGGCGCAUUAGCUAGUUGGUGAGGUAACGGCUCACCAAGGCGACGAUGCGUAGCCGACCUGAGAGGGUGAUCGGCCACACUGGGACUGAGACACGGCCCAGACUCCUACGGGAGGCAGCAGUAGGGAAUCUUCCGCAAUGGACGAAAGUCUGACGGAGCAACGCCGCGUGAGUGAUGAAGGUUUUCGGAUCGUAAAGCUCUGUUGUUAGGGAAGAACAAGUGCCGUUCGAAUAGGGCGGUACCUUGACGGUACCUAACCAGAAAGCCACGGCUAACUACGUGCCAGCAGCCGCGGUAAUACGUAGGUGGCAAGCGUUGUCCGGAAUUAUUGGGCGUAAAGGGCUCGCAGGCGGUUUCUUAAGUCUGAUGUGAAAGCCCCCGGCUCAACCGGGGAGGGUCAUUGGAAACUGGGGAACUUGAGUGCAGAAGAGGAGAGUGGAAUUCCACGUGUAGCGGUGAAAUGCGUAGAGAUGUGGAGGAACACCAGUGGCGAAGGCGACUCUCUGGUCUGUAACUGACGCUGAGGAGCGAAAGCGUGGGGAGCGAACAGGAUUAGAUACCCUGGUAGUCCACGCCGUAAACGAUGAGUGCUAAGUGUUAGAGGGUUUCCGCCCCUUAGUGCUGCAGCUAACGCAUUAAGCACUCCGCCUGGGGAGUACGGUCGCAAGACUGAAACUCAAAGGAAUUGACGGGGGCCCGCACAAGCGGUGGAGCAUGAGGUUUAAUUCGAAGCAACGCGAAGAACCUUACCAGGUCUUGACAUCCUCUGACAAUCCUAGAGAUAGGACGUCCCCUUCGGGGGCAGAGUGACAGGUGGUGCAUGGUUGUCGUCAGCUCGUGUCGUGAGAUGUUGGGUUAAGUCCCGCAACGAGCGCAACCCUUGAUCUUAGUUGCCAGCAUUCAGUUGGGCACUCUAGGGUGACUGCCGGUGACAAACCGGAGGAAGGUGGGGAUGACGUCAAAUCAUCAUGCCCCUUAUGACCUGGGCUACACACGUGCUACAAUGGACAGAACAAAGGGCAGCGAAACCGCGAGGUUAAGCCAAUCCCACAAAUCUGUUCUCAGUUCGGAUCGCAGUCUGCAACUCGACUGCGUGAAGCUGGAAUCGCUAGUAAUCGCGGAUCAGCAUGCCGCGGUGAAUACGUUCCCGGGCCUUGUACACACCGCCCGUCACACCACGAGAGUUUGUAACACCCGAAGUCGGUGAGGUAACCUUUUAGGAGCCAGCCGCCGAAGGUGGGACAGAUGAUUGGGGUGAAGUCGUAACAAGGUAGCCGUAUCGGAAGGUGCGGCUG
rnacentral:rRNA from 1 species